rnacentral:rRNA from 1 species
AAUGCACAGGCUGUGACCUCGAAGAGUAGGGCGGGACACGUGGUAUCCUGUCUGAAUAUGGGGGGACCAUCCUCCAAGGCUAAAUACUCCUGACUGACCGAUAGUGAACCAGUACCGUGAGGGAAAGGCGAAAAGAACCCCGGCGAGGGGAGUGAAAAAGAACCUGAAACCGUGUACGUACAAGCAGUGGGAGCACCUUCGGGUGUGACUGCGUACCUUUUGUAUAAUGGGUCAGCGACUUAUAUUCUGUAGCAAGGUUAACCGUAUAGGGGAGCCGCAGGGAAACCGAGUCUUAACUGGGCGUUAAGUUGCAGGGUAUAGACCCGAAACCCGGUGAUCUAGCCAUGGGCAGGUUGAAGGUUGGGUAACACUAACUGGAGGACCGAACCGACUAAUGUUGAAAAAUUAGCGGAUGACUUGUGGCUGGGGGUGAAAGGCCAAUCAAACCGGGAGAUAGCUGGUUCUCCCCGAAAGCUAUUUAGGUAGCGCCUCGUGAACUCAUCUUCGGGGGUAGAGCACUGUUUCGGCUAGGGGGUCAUCCCGACUUACCAACCCGAUGCAAACUACGAAUACCGAAGAAUGUUAUCACGGGAGACACACGGCGGGUGCUAACGUCCGUCGUGAAGAGGGAAACAACCCAG